AACAGUCUGAUUAUUGACCUCCACAUCAUUUACAGUUCCUCUUUUAAGCUCAAAGAGGUUCAUGCACACAAACAAAGCUGAAUAUGCAAAACGAUUAAAACCCAUGAAAUAUCAAACUUGCUUUGGCAUUACUGUUUUCACAAGCAAAUUUGCCACAAUGAUGAAUGAUGCGGCCAAUCUGACCCAGCCAUUUAAUCCUCUUUAAGAGCGUCUGACAGUUAACACCGCAGCUCACACACACACACACACACACUAAAACAUCACACUUCUCUAGAUCUCUGCAAUAACGCUGAAGUAUGUUUUAGCUAUAGUUCCAUCAGAAGCAAACCAGAGUGAAAGAGGAAGGUGAGGAUGUAUGAGGAAGACAUACUUCUCCUCGAUGCUAUUUCAGUUUCCAGACACACUCCCAGCAAACGAUAAUAGGACUCCAUUUCUCCAGCCGAGAUGCGGACCAAGGAAAAGGACGCUCCCCGUGAGUGCCGCCCACAUACCGAGCAGCGGGACAGGACGGUCUGAUAGCACCGGGAGCCUUCCAUACUGCAGCACAAACCCACAAUACCCCAACCUGCCUCACUACGCCUCGCUGGACGAAGGUCACAGAAGCGUAAGGAGGACAGAUCAGAGUAAGUGGACAGAAGCGUUGCUGUCUCUGGAUUAAGAGAACUAUUCUAGUUCACUUCUCCUGUGGUGGAUAUUCUUACACACACACCUCCACCUGAGAGCACCGUCUCUUUGCACCCAGGUUGCUCCACACAGGUUUUUUAAAGAAUAUCCUGCCCAUUUUAUGGAUGUAAAUGAGGACUGGGACUGUCAAGCUCUAAAAUGACAAAAAUAUUCCAUAAAAUAGCAUACAAAUGAUCUGUGUGACUCAAGUGUUCUAAAGCCACACACUUAUAUGAGGAAUAGAGAGAAAUCUUCUUAUACAAAACACCUCAAGGCUUCCGACCAAACCCAACAGAGCUGUAACUCUCUCAGAAAUGACUCCAUAUAUCAUUCUCAGAAACACAGAGGACAAGAAACACAAAGUUCUUCCUCAGGCACAAAUGCUGUUAAAUCUGCUUGAAAAGACUUACACAUAACUGAACCCAUUGUGCCGACGGUCCCGCGCCGUGCAAGAGGUCCCAAGAGCCGCAGUGACCCGCAAACUCAAUCACUCCUGGGUGUCUAAUAAGACGUUACGAGAGGUGCCUGUGCCUCUGAAACGCAGGCAACACACUGACAUGCAUACUACAAAUAUCUUUGAGAAUGCCAGAAGCACCGGUAGUUUCCUCUUCCUCUCUCUCCCAGCGAGACAUUCAUCACUGCGCAGCGCUCUGUGGUUAAAAUACGUCAGGAAGAAGUUCUCACAAACACACAGAUUCCUUUUCCCCUCUCCACCCCAAAACAGAGCCCUGCUACACACACACACACACACACACACACACACACACAUAAACCCCUCCCCGCAACCCUCACACAUGAGACAGCAUCAUGUGGCACUGCCUGUUAAAUCUAAACCUGAGGACUCAACUUUUUUCAGUCACUUUCACAGUGGAAAACAAAUGUAACGUGCUAAAUUGAGAAGCAAAAAAGUGGGAAACCAACCCAAACUGUGAUUUCAUGGAUGUCUGAGCGCUCACUUGUAGGUGAGCUAAUGUUUUCAUGGAUAACUUCAGACAUUCCUGUGGACGGAAACCUUUGAGCGUGUAAAAUGAGGCACUCUUUUACUCGGGAACCGUCUGGAUCUCUGGAAAUCACAGUCAGUCUGGUACACACUCCAAAACAAGCCCAUUUGUAAGCAUGUAUGAAAUGUCCUUGAAUUGAGAAAAGAAUUGUUUGAAAUAAUUCAUUGUAAGAAUUGUUUUUCAAAAAGGUACACUCAAGCAGCAUGGUCACAUCCAACAACUGCCUGAAAAUUCUCGUGAUCUUUGGUGCUAGGAGGAUUCAGCAUCCACGAGAAAGACUGUGAAACACUCCUCAGCACAAUGAGAGAGCAUGAGAGGGUGAUGUCAUAAAGCUUCAGUGACUGACAGUCUAAUGGAUUGCAGCUGAGAAAACGUGUUUACCGGUGCAAGCUCUUCCAUAUGACUGAAGAAUCAAUCUCACACUGAGCUUGUGAUAAAACUUUUAUGCUUGUGUGUAAUGAGACAAGACCUCCCUACAUCAAAAUGGCUUAUUUUAAAG